rnacentral:tRNA from 1 species
GCGUUGGUGGUUCAGUGGGAGAGUUCUUACUUUCCAUGCAAGAGACCCGGGUUCAAUUCCAGGCCAGUGCA